CGAACGGGGAGCAGCCCAGAGCCUGAAUCAGUGUGUGUGUUAGUGGAAGCGUCUGGAAAGGCGCGCGAUACAGGGUGACAGCCCCGUACACAAAAAUGCACAUGCUGUGAGCUCGAUGAGUAGGGCGGGACACGUGGUAUCCUGUCUGAAUAUGGGGGGACCAUCCUCCAAGGCUAAAUACUCCUGACUGACCGAUAGUGAACCAGUACCGUGAGGGAAAGGCGAAAAGAACCCCGGCGAGGGGAGUGAAAAAGAACCUGAAACCGUGUACGUACAAGCAGUGGGAGCACGCUUAGGCGUGUGACUGCGUACCUUUUGUAUAAUGGGUCAGCGACUUAUAUUCUGUAGCAAGGUUAACCGAAUAGGGGAGCCGAAGGGAAACCGAGUCUUAACUGGGCGUUAAGUUGCAGGGUAUAGACCCGAAACCCGGUGAUCUAGCCAUGGGCAGGUUGAAGGUUGGGUAACACUAACUGGAGGACCGAACCGACUAAUGUUGAAAAAUUAGCGGAUGACUUGUGGCUGGGGGUGAAAGGCCAAUCAAACCGGGAGAUAGCUGGUUCUCCCCGAAAGCUAUUUAGGUAGCGCCUCGUGAAUUCAUCUCCGGGGGUAGAGCACUGUUUCGGCAAGGGGGUCAUCCCGACUUACCAACCCGAUGCAAACUGCGAAUACCGGAGAAUGUUAUCACGGGAGACACACGGCGGGUGCUAACGUCCGUCGUGAAGAGGGAAACAACCCAGACCGCCAGCUAAGGUCCCAAAGUCAUGGUUAAGUGGGAAACGAUGUGGGAAGGCCCAGACAGCCAGGAUGUUGGCUUAGAAGCAGCCAUCAUUUAAAGAAAGCGUAAUAGCUCACUGGUCGAGUCGGCCUGCGCGGAAGAUGUAACGGGGCUAAACCAU
rnacentral:rRNA from 1 species